UACAGAGGUCUCAAGCGUUGUUCGGAUUCAUUGGGCGUAAAGGGUGUGUAGGUGGCGCGCUAAGUCGGGUGUGAAAUUUCGGAGCUUAACUCCGAAACUGCAUUCGAUACUGCCGUGCUUGAGGACUGGAGAGGAGACUGGAAUUUACGGUGUAGCAGUGAAAUGCGUAGAUAUCGUAAGGAAGACCAGUGGCGAAGGCGGGUCUCUGGACAGUUCCUGACGCUGAGGCACGAAGGCCAGGGGAGCAAACGGG
rnacentral:rRNA from 1 species